rnacentral:lncRNA from 1 species
UGAAAACUCACAUCAGCCUCUUAAGUACUCAAAUAUACAACAAACUGAAACUCCUAUGUUCAAACAGUUUUCAUGUCCUUUUAAUAACACAUCAUCUAAAUUGAAGUGCUACUCGAAACUUUCAAGAACUCAAGAGGAAUUGAACAAUGAGGAACAGAAAAUCAAAUGUAUACACAUAAUGGAAACCAAACUAAAUAAAACAAUUAACUAGUUUAGAAAGUGCAGAAAUAUCAUUUAACCAACUGGUCAAUUACAAAUUUUGGCCUGAUCAAACCAACUUCACGUUCAUCCAUUUCUCAUACAUUAAGAGGUAUAGUGAAUACCUGGAAAUCGAAAGAGAAACAGAAAGGGUGAAGAAUCAGCAGAGCGGCAGAAUAAAAUGAGCCUAGAUUCAUUCAAGGAAACCACAAAUUCAGCUCAAGUAUGAUCAAUGGAACAGUAGAGGAGUAACAAAUGAAAAACCAACUUCAAACCAAAAGCUCAAGCCAUUUCUCAACCAGUGGUACAGCUAGGAAAAUUCUUAGCUAAACAAAAAGAAAUCAGGGAUCCAAACAAGCUGAAUUUGGAUGGUUCUUCAACAAUGGAAUGCAGUAAUUUCAGAGUUUCUAAAGAAUUCAUCCGUUUUUAAUUUUUCCAGAAUUUUUGUCUCUUGAAAUCUCUCCAAAAAAUCUGAUUCUAGCCCAAGUUAAUGGGUCUGAAUUAAACUCAAUUCAAUUCCUUUAGGCCAUCUGACUUUCAAAAUCCAAACUUGACACUGAAAGUUCAAAACUCUCAAAUGCUAAUUCACAAAGUCUUAGAGACUCGAGGAAUUUGGGUCCAAAUAGGAACACAAAUCAAAACGUGUACAAAUUAAAAUCAGAAACAAUUACUAACUACACAUUUCUGAACCUAAUCAUGCAGACAUGGACAUUUUGAAGAGAUGAAAAUAGAAAAUAAAAUAAACAAAAUUAGAAAAAGGAAAAGACAGAAGAAGAAGAGAAGUGAGAAAAAAUAAAAAAUAACAACCUAAGGUAAAGAAAAAUACCUAAAGUGGCCAUAGACCGUAAAAAGCACUUGAAGAAUCUUUAAAUCCCUAUAUUUUCGGCUCAAUCUGAGACUAAACGUGUGUUAUUUUAUCACAACACAAGACUAACAUCAGAGUGAACAUGAAACUUCAAAGAAAACUCGAAUUGGAUAAAUUUGGAUUUUAAGGUUCACCCUUCGAUCUAAAAUUUGAUGGAUUCUGGAGUGAUUCGGGGGAAGGGGAGUUGGGAUUCGGAAUAAGGAGAGGGAAGGGGUCCUAGGGUGUUAAUUUUGUGAAAUUCCGCCAUUGAAAAAUUUGGAAUUUUAAGGUGGCUGGCUAGGGUUCCUAUUUUUUAUCGGAUAUUCGUGCAGUUCUAGCCGGAUUCGAGUUAAAAUGAUUGGAUAUUUGGGAAAAGGGGAGAGACAGUGGUGUAAACUUGGGCAUUAUUGGCCGCAGGCUGCCACCGUGGGCGAUUUUCGUUGGGCGGCAGGUGGAGGACAAUGGCCCAAGGGUGGCGUUACGUUAGGGCAUCUGAGGGUGUGUGUGAGACGGUUUAGGGGUUGGGGGCUGUUCCGACAUAUUUAUAUUAAGAGAACCAUUAGUUCUCGUCCGUUGGAUGAAGGAAAAUCAACGUUCCUGAUCGACUUUAAAUAAAACAUGGUCGUUUGGUUAUAGGAGGGGAUGUUGGAUCGGGUUUUGACAGGUUUGGGCCGAGUUUGGAUGGUUUUGGCUGGGUUUGAAGGGUUUGGGCUAGCAAUUUUGGCCAAAAACUUUUCUCUUCUUUUAAAAAAAAUUCAAUUUCAGAAUUAGAAAUAAAAUUUAGACCUAGAUUUAUUCUUAAGAAAAUUCAAUUAACCUUAAAUAAGUUAAAAGUCCAAAUUAAAGACUAUCAAAAAAUUGAAAAUUGCAAAAGUAAACUAUUUUUGUGAUUUUUUGUAGUAUUAAUUAAUUAAUUAUCCUAAAAGUAUAAAAAGGGAUCUUAAAUGUAAAUGCAACAUAUUUUUGUAUUUUUUAUGAAUUAAACAAAAUUAAACAUUCGCACAAAAUGCAAACAAACAAGAAAAAAUAUGCAGUAAUUCCUAGAAAAAAUAAAUAAUUAAAAGAAAAUUCCUAAUUUUGGGAAUUCUGUAGGAGUAAUUCAUGCGAGACAAAAAUCACGUGCUCACAUGGACCACAUCAAUGCAAUACUCGAUAAUCACUCUUCAGAAAAGGGACUACACGUGGUAUUAACACACCAGUCAUCAAAUCCAUAUCUACUAUUUUCUACCCCGUUUAUACUAAAGCGGGGAUUGGUCUCGACCAUUAUUGCAUGCUAUUACCCGCCCCAUUCCUAACAGUCCUAGAGGAACUUAGGACUACUAAUCCUAAAAGGAGAGGAUAUUAGGCUGAUUUGAGGUUUCAAAGGUGAAAAUUCUAAGGUGACAUGUAAAACAUAGAGAAGACUGCACAUCUAAGGGGAAGCACAUAAACACAUAAGGCUCGAGUAUGCCUCCUCAAACAAAACAAUCCAAUAGCAUGACUUAAACAAACGAGUAAGGUCCGAUUCUACAAAUACUUGAGGGAGAGGAGAUUAUUGUUGUUGCAACAGACCUGGCCUAUUACAUGACUUAGUUAGGAAACACAAACCAGGCGUGCCUGCUGGUUGUAGCACUUAAACAAAUAACAGAGGCGAGUUUACUUUUAUUUAUAUUAUUGCUUGAGGCUUGCCUAAGAUGAGACCUUAUUGCUAGUUUUAACUCCUAUGAACAUGAUAUCUAGAGUACUGAUUUUAAUUUUUUUUGACAUGGUACUAAUUUAUAGCCGUUUAAAUCCUAGAGCAUGAUGUCUAAGCGAUAACAAGUGUGCAUAACAUAAAAUGGAGUCCUAUAGGUAGGUUAUCUAGGCAUGAAGUGGAACAUACAUAAUUUUAAACAAAAUAAACCUCUAUAGGCAUGGUGUCUAAGGUGCAAAAUUGAACACACAGAGAUAAAAGUAGUCAUAUAGGCAUAUUUUCUAAAUGGAGUUUGGAUAUAUAGAAUCAAAAUACCCUAUAGACAUGGUUUCUAAAUGUAGUCUGAGUAUGCAAAAUUUAGAAGUAAUCCUAUAGGUAUAUUUUCUACAUGUAGUUUGAGUAUGCAAAAUCAAGAUAUCCUAUAGGCAUAUUUUCUAAGUGUAGUCUGAAUAUGCAGAAUUUAGAAGUAAUCCUAUAGGCAUAUUUUCCACAUGUAGCUUGAAUAUGAAGAAUCAAGAUAUCCUAUAGGCAUAUUUUCUACCCCUAACAUGCAUAAUUACCCACCCUUUUUCACUAGAUAUCCCCGAUGUACAAAUUAUUAUGAACCAGAAGUACUAAAUUACAUCAGAAAAAAUACAUAAAAAUACAACCAAAGGAAGCCUGAUUCUUGGUUCCUCCCUGAGAUAUGGAAUAACUGCCUUAAGAUGCCAUUACUUCAAAGUCUUUCUCAGACUUGAGUGUGUCAAAGGUCCCUAAGGGUCUUAGAGGACCCCGGGCAGUGCUCACACCUAACCAGAAUAGAGAUGAGUAUAGUGUGGAAAAGGCCAGCUUUGGGCAUGCACAUUAAUAGAAGAUGUUGGCAUGUCUAUGAGCCAACCAGAAUACACAACAAACAGAGAAAACAUGGGAGUUAUGAUCCUAGGAGGAUCAAGUUUGGACCAUGGACAACAAUAAUUAAUGUUGCCAUGCCCAUUACCACAGUUAUCAAACAUAUUGGGGGUGGGGAUUUAAGGUUCAAUGGACAUGAUAAGUAAGUAAAAAACCAUUCAUUCAGAACAGAAAAGGCAGAAUGCAGCAUGCAUAAUAAUGGAAAUUAGUUAAAUACAAAUAGGAGACAAACAAGAAUGCAAGGGACAGUAAAGAAAUAAGUUGUUGUUGAUGCUGAAAACUUAAUUAGAAUAGACCAGUCAGAGAAGCAAAGAGCAGUAAAGAAAAGUAAGCAGGACUUUGAAGUAUAGACUUGGCUUUCAGCCGACUAAACAGGUACUAGCACAAGUAGUAGUAAAGCAAAAGAGAGUGUUUGAGAGUAAGUGUGAGCUCAAAACUAAAAGUGUUCAUGUCUGAAAAAAGAGAAGUACAAGGUAUUUAUAGCUUUUUGAAAACGACUAAAAAAGAGGUAAUAAGCCACAAACAUAGAAACAAUCACUAUUCAAAAUUAAUUUCACACAUGAUUGCCUUUAAUUAAGGGAUCACCUUCUUAACGGGCAGUGACUGACUCAAAAAUAAAGAAAGAAAUCAAUUUAUAGGCAUAUUUAUUAUUGCCAUAAAAGAAGUAGUAAAACCAUCAAGUAAGUAAUUAAGUCUAAGUACAAGAAUAUACUAAUUUUGGGAAGGGAUUGAGUAAGGCAAAACAGGGAAAAGAAUCAACUACCUAACAUAUGAGUGCACUCAGAAUUCCACAAACAAAGCUUUGAAAUCUUCCACAAACAAAGGUUUGAAAUCAUUCCAAAAUCAAAAUUCAUUCAAGAAGGGAAUUCAGCAUAUAAAUAGAGUGCAUAAACAUUAGGCAUGCGAGUCCAAACUAUGGCAAAGAAAAGCAUCAUGCCCUAACAAUCACAAAUUCAGUAGACAGUGAACCAUCAAAACAUGGUAGUUACAUAGAUCAACUUUAUUGACCUAGUAGUAGAGAAAAGAGAGAGUAUCAGAAGCAUGUAAAGGGUCAAGUAAAAGACACUUCCGAAAAAGUAUAAUUUGAGUUUCAAUGAUAGCAAGAAACAAGAGUCACAUAAAUAAACAGAUGCUGAAACAAAAGAAUUUCAAAUCAAGUCGAGCAACUUCAAACAAAUGAAUUGCGCAAGCAUUUUCAGAAACUCAAAUAGACCCCAAAAAAUUAGGGUUUUGAAAUCAAUCGAGUCUAGAGAUGAUGAACAAGUAAAUCAACAAAUAAGUAGUCCCUGGAACUUGAAUAAAUCCAAAAAUUAGGGUUUUCCACACCAAUCGAGCCUAGAGACAAUAAAAAAUUAAAUCAAACAAAUAAAUACAAAUGGAGUAGGAAAACUCAGGAGACAUUAGGGUUUUUAUCAUGCAAACUCACAGAGGGGAACAAUACGAGCAACCAUAGAAGAACAUGUUAACAAGAAAACCCUAAAAGAUAAAGAGCUUUGGAAGCAGAGUCUUAUAAGACACUUCGAGAAAAACAUUUAGACGUUCAAAGCAAACAUAAACCUGAAGCAUAUCUAAAAGAAAUCAGAAGAACCUUAGAGCUUAGGGUUUCAGGAGAGCCCCAAAUGAUGAGAAAGGCCUCGGAAACCAUUGAUCUAGAUAGGAAAUCCAUAGGUCUUACUCGAAUGGCCAUAGCUGGCUGGAGAAAGGCCAGAGACGACCGAAGAACAGUCAUGAACUAAAAUCGAACAAAGCCUGGACCAAGAUCUUUCAAGAUCGGACCUUGAAACCAAAGAAAAGAACGUACAGAAGCCAUGGGAGGCUGGUAGAGGUUUCAAAUGACCAUAGGAGGUCAUAGAUUAAGGAAGUAUCAGGGUUGUAGUUUAAUGGCGGCUGCUAGGGUUUGUAGGAGUCUUAGAGAGAAUUAAGAGAGAAAAGGAUUCAAGGGUGACUGUAGGUAAGAAAUGAUUAGAUUUAGGGGUUAGUUCGGGUUAAAAAAAAGGAAAAGGCAGUUGAUAGUCGUUGAUCCAAACGAUCAAUGGCUGGGAUUUAAAGGGCUAGUUGUGGAUUCGGGUAUGGGUCUGUUUAAACGGGUUAGGGUCGGGUAUGAGUAGGAAUUGUGAUGGGGUAAUUGGGUUUAAAUUGGGGGUUCAAUUCAAGCUAUAAUUGAAAUGUAAUUGGGCUAGAUAUUAAAUAGCCAAUUUUUCUCUUUUUAUUUUAUAAAAAAAAAGUAAAUUGAUUCCUGGAAAUAAAUUAAAAGUACUAAAAUGAUUUGUAAUACAUAAUUAUCAAUUUAAAAAUACUGAACUUACUUUCAUAGAUAUAAAUGCAAUUAAAUCUAAAAGAGGUUAAUCUUGCAAUUAUAUGCAAUUUAGCCUUAAAAAAUACCAAAUAAAUUUAUAAAAAAUAUGAAAAAAUUUAUUAGCAAUAUAUUUUAGUAUAAAUGUAAGAGUCCAAUAAAUGAAUUACAAAAAAAAAAUUAUUUUGGUAAUUAAUAUUGGUUUUUUAUGAAUGAAAUAGGGAAAUAAAUUGGUUAAAAAUCUAUAAAACUUGAGGAAAAAUAAUAAGACAUUUGGACAUGAUUAUAUAUGCAUACAUGUGCUAUUUUGAAAGUAUUUUGCAUAUAAAAGAUACAUUGAAAAAAAUUGAGACCCAACAAUAGUCCUUUAACAAAUAAAUAGUUUAAACACAUAAUUGAAAAUAAGGGCAGGUUUUGGACAUUACAACAACAACAACAACAACAACAACAACGACCCAAUAAAAUCUCACUAGUGGGGUCUGGGAGGGUAGUAUAUGCGCAGACCUUACCCUUACCUCGCAGGGGAGUUUUUUGACAUUAUAUGGCUCAAAUAAUGAGACAAAGGAAAGAAUUGAACAAAUUGCAUACAUAUAGAAAAGUAAAUUUAAACAAAGGGAAUUUGGGAAGGAGGGGUCCCGAGUUGGUUAGCCUAGAGGAUUACCCAACAUAAUUCCCCGUAAACACUCCUCAAUAAGGGGUUACAUGUGACAUUAACGUGUAGUCAUCAUAUUCAUUUCUACUCAAUUCCCUCCCUUUGGUCAUAGCCUAAAGUGUUCUACUAACCUUGACAAUGUACUAUUCGUGCACUACCCGUCCCUUUCUCGCGACCCUGGAGGUAUUUUAGGACCUCUACUUUUUGGACAGUUCAAUUUCCUAAAUUUUUAAAGGAUAAAAUCUAAGAACCAAUCAAGAACAGUUAGGACUGCAUUAACGGAAACAAGUUAUAGGCCUACAGUUACCUCCACAAAUAUAACAAGUAAAUGAACGUCUUCAAACAACAUUCAAGUACUUAAGAGAAAAUCCUAGAGCGUGAUAUCUAGGUGAGUAGGGGUUAUACAAUAUUGAAUUAGGACUAAGUGUGAAAAAUCCUUUUUAGCUUGCCUACUGAUUUAAAUCUGUUAAGUCUGGAUAGUUUUUAAAUAACAAAAGUACAAUUUCAGAGUUGCAGAAUUUAAAUCGCCCUAAGGCUUGCCUAAAUGCUGAACAAUGAUGUCCUAAAAGCAUGAUAUCUACAUUGAUGCAAUACAAUAAUGGACAUUUUUAAACGGAUACUUGAGAUCCUAUAGGCAUGCUUUCUAGCGGCAGUGAUUUAAGGCAGUGCUUGAAAACUCAUUUAAAAAAGCGACCAGUUGAUUAAAUUAAUUCAAAAUGAACUAACAUGAUUUAAACUGACUUGUUUAACUAAAUUGAUUUUAAGUUCUAUAGGCAGGAUUUCUGAUUGUUAAUUCCUAUAGGCAUGGUAUCUAAUUGUUGAGAGCUGAUUUUAGAACUUAUAGGCAUGAUUUCUAAUGAGACGAAUGUAAAUACAUGCAGUAGCAAAGAUUGAACUCUAUCACUUUACACUUUAUUGGCAUGGUAUCUAAUUACAAAGUUGAUUUUAACCUUAUAGACAUGAUUUCUAUUAUUGAAUCCAUUUAGAUCAUAUAGGCAAAGCAAACAUAGCAAAUUUAAUAACAUUAUCCCAUAGGCAUGGUAUCUUCCUGAGUUAUCCAACAUGUAUAUACCCUUUUACACUAAUAACCCCGAAGUUGUUUACCAAUAAUUAUUACAGACCAACUGAAUAAAUUAAAUAAACAAAUAAAGAAAGAAACAUAAGAAGUUAACUAUAGGGAGCCUGAAGCAGACCCAAAUAACUUCCCCAACCCUCCAAUAGCCUCAAAUGCCAAGGUUUCAUAGACAGUAUCAUUGACUAUGUGCGUCAGAGUUCCCUAAGUAUCUCGGGCAGCGCUCACACCUAGACUCUUUCUAAAGCAAGAACUGAUUUAAGUGCAGUGUGGAAAGGCCUGCUCUGACAUGCCAGAGUUCAGAGAAAUCUCAAGGAUCUCAAGGCAGUACACAUCCUAUAGAGGCGGAACCUAAUAUUCUAGGAGUAGUGUGAGAGUGCUUAACAUAGAUUUGUUUUUAAAAUAGUACAGAGAUAACUUUAAAAGUAGGAAAGUUUUAAGAAAUCAGGGAAUAACUUAGUGGUAAAAGACAGUUUGAGAAGAGUAUCAAGCAACAGAAAAUCAGUUGGUCAUAUUCAUAUCACUUAACAACAGAACUUCACAUGGGAAUGAAAGGAUUGUGGAACAUAUGAAUCACUUCAAGGUAUAGGGAUAGGGAUAGUAAAAACAUAUAGUCACAAACUGCGUACAAACUUAGGAUUUGGGAGACUUAGUAAAUAUUUCAGUACAUAAAUAAUGGUUGGCUUGUUUUGAACAUGUUUUUAACAUAUAAUUUAGGCAUGCUAUGUAAAGAAGUAAGCAGAGUGUAGAACAUGCAUUGAAAGGAUAGGAUUUCAGACAUGCUAAGAAAAGGAGUAAGCAAGAAAGGGUGUAGAAUUAAAGCACACAUUGAACAUGCAGAUUUAAACAUGUCGGUCAAAGAAGUAGGCAAGGAUACAAGUUGACCCCAUAACUGAUGAACUAAUGAAAGAAUGACAAACACAUAGGGUUUGGAUUCCAAAACUUAAUUAGGGAUAUACCAGUUAAGGAGAGCAACACAAAGUAUAGAGCAUAGUGCAAUAACUAGCCUUGGCUUAUAGCCGGCUAGUUAGUUGGAAAUAGCAAGUGACAGAAAGAGCAGAAAGCUUUAAGUAUAGAAGAGAGUUUUUGAACUAGUGUUUGGUUGUUGAUCUUGUUGUUGUGAGAUUAAAAGAAGGGGCGGUUUAUAUAGGAAUAAAAACUUAACAAACAAGGUACUAAAUGAACUAGGUAGUAAAUCAGGGAAACCACACGUAAACCAACAAGAUUUUCCCUUAAUCAAGGGACAACUCAACCAACGGUAAAACAAAUUCAGUAUUUAAGGAAAAUAAUAAGUAAAUCUUAUGUAUAGAACAGGCAUUUAAGAGUAAACACACAUCAGUUUAAUUAAGGAAACAAAGCAAUAAUAAUCAGUGGAAUACAAACAAGGUAGGGAAAAAUAUUUAAGGCCAGUAAAUUCAAUCAAAUUGAGAAAAAGGCUAAGAAUCAAAAAGUUAAAUGGAAAGGGUUCAAAUUAAACUAGAAAAUAAGGGAUUCAGAGUAAUCAAGAGUUCAGAAAAUCAUGAAAGAGGCAGCAUGCAUAGCAUAUAAAAUGAAGUAGAGCAUGAGUAUUCAGGAAUCGACACAUAAUUUUAACAAAAUAAAAGUUAAACUACAUUGAUUCAAAGAGAAGCAUACAAGUUUUGCAUGAAUGGUCGGUACAAACACAAGUUCAUAAUAUUAGUGAAAGUUUGAACUAAGAAAAUUUUGUAGAAGCAUACUAGGACAAGUACAUCAUGAGAAGUCACAAGAAUCCAAGGCAGGAACGCAGUCAGAGGUACCAAUAUCCAGAAACCAAACGGAAAACCCCAAAACAUUAGGGUAUUCGAUACAAACGGUCUAGGGUUGGAGAAGGUUCAUAAAAUUAUUCAAAUGUGUGAGAAUCAGAAGUUUAAAUACAAAGAAUCAUUAAACAAAGUUAUAAAAAGGAAUUCCGGAAACCCAAGUUUUAGAAAAAGAUGAAAAAAUCACUUGAAAUCAUAUGAUUCUUGUAAAGAAUCUUAAGGCUACUGUAAAACACACAAGAAACAAACUCAAAUCGUCAUAGAUCUCAACAAAUCUAGGAGGUUUAGAAACAAAAUAAAGGUUAUGAAGAGAACCAUACAAAGAUGAAGAAACAUACUGAAAACCCCUUAGAUCGUAGCUAAUAUAGAACGAUUCACUCGAAAUCACAAUGAAAUGGCCAGGAACAGGCGAGAAAUGAAUCCUAGAUGUAAGUCAACAUGGCCCUGGUCCCUUGAGAGCCUUAGAGAUGGUGAGAAUGACAUGAGAGAGGCUAUUGGAAGCCUGAAAGAUGGUGAGUGGUCAUCGAACAUGGCCAUAGCAGGGGGUCAGUGUUUGGAGAUUAGAGUUUAGGUUAAGAGUGUUUGAGAGCAGAGAGGAUUUUAGGGCGGCGGUAUA